AUGAAUGAAACGUGAGGUAAAGGUAUUAACAUGAUAUUAUUUAAUGGAUGGUAUGUAAGCUUUUGUACAUGAUCCUCUGUUGGGGAUUAGUUAAGAUGUCUGUGGGGAGAAUGGGUUAGCUGCAAAGAGAGUGUGUUAGACAUGCAUGAUGUAUGCAAUAUGCCAGGUAUGCAGUGCAUGACAAAUAUUUUUUUUCUCUUUUAUUUUAUCUAUCUUUCUCUUU
rnacentral:lncRNA from 1 species